AACGAACGCUGGCGGCAGGCCUAACACAUGCAAGUCGAGCGGAGCGGCAGAGGGGUGAGUAAUGGCUAGGAAUCUGCCUGGUAGUGGGGGAUAACGUUCGGAAACGGGCGCUAAUACUGCUAACUAUCAGAUGAGCCUAUGUCGGAUUAGCUAGUUGGUGGGGGAAAGGCCUACCAAGGCGACGAGCCGUAACUGGUCUGAGAGGAUGAUCAGUCACACUGGAACUGAGACACGGUCCAGACUCCUACGGGAGGCAGCAGUGGGGAAUAUUGCACAAUGGGCGCAAGCCUGAUCCAGCCAUGCCGCGUGUGUGAAGAAGGUCUUCGGAUUGUAAAGCACUUUAAGUUGGGAGGCGUUACCAACAGAAUAAGCACCGGCUAACUUCGUGCCAGCAGCCGCGGUAAUUC
rnacentral:rRNA from 1 species